ACAAACGCUGGCGGCGUGCUUAACACAUGCCAGUCGAACGGAAAGGCCCUGCUUUUGUGGGGUGCUCGAGUGGCGAACGGGUGAGUAACACGUGAGUAACCUGCCCUUGACUUUGGGAUAACUUCAGGAAACUGGGGCUAAUACCGGAUAGGAGCUCCUGCUGCAUGGUGGGGGUUGGAAAGUUUCGGCGGUUGGGGAUGGACUCGCGGCUUAUCAGCUUGUUGGUGGGGUAGUGGCUUACCAAGGCUUUGACGGGUAGCCGGCCUGAGAGGGUGACCGGCCACAUUGGGACUGAGAUACGGCCCAGACUCCUACGGGAGGCAGCAGUGGGGAAUAUUGCACAAUGGGCGGAAGCCUGAUGCAGCAACGCCGCGUGCGGGAUGACGGCCUUCGGGUUGUAAACCGCUUUCGCCUGUGACGAAGCGUGAGUGACGGUAAUGGGUAAAGAAGCACCGGCUAACUACGUG
rnacentral:rRNA from 1 species